rnacentral:lncRNA from 1 species
GCAAUACAAAGCGACCAUCUGUCUUACACCCUUCACGUCAUCGCCCCGCGCGCUUUGGUUUCCAGGGAAACGUGCUGUUGUCAUCGCGAACAACAAGCUGAUAAUCGAGAACGAAACUGGAGAAAUGGUGACGACCGUCUUGAAAUCUGAUGAAGAAAUUUUGAAAGCUUAUCAAGAUCAUUUUCCACAACUGAAACAGGAUAUAGUACGACGUGCUUUGGGAGAAUGGCAUCAUGUGUCCAAGUCUUAAAAACUUAUUGUAUCGUUAGAUUUGGCAAACCAGAUAAAUAAAUUGCGCACGCUAUGCGCUGGUCAAAUUCCUGCCUUUUAUAUUGUGUCUUACAUGAAGUUUUAAUUAGCCCUACAUGUAUUGCGAAUUUGCGAAAUCAAAGCUCAUGCAAUUCAGACGGUACGUUAAAAUUUUAGCUUAUAUUUGGUGUAAAUCUUUGCAAUAUCUAUAUUGGUUGUUUGUUAGCCGUCUAAAUGUAGGGUUUAAUCAGAAAACUCUUCUAUUGGAAAAAAUAUUUGGGCUCGAUCUCGGGUAGACUGCGAGCAACCAGUAUGGAGAGGGUCCUGAAGGGGUAAAAUGGGAACUGGGAUUGACCUAUUUUUAGACUGGGAAAAUGGGAUUUGGGUUGCUGGGACUGGGAUUUGGCCACUGGGAAUGGGAAAUGAAGUCCUCAAAAAUGGGAAUGGGAUUGAGGUAAUGUGAAUCGAUUCCCAAUUUUUCCACGUUUUAAGUAUUUUUAAAUACAAUUUUGAUCUGUUUUUG